GAUGAACGCUGGCGGCGUGCCUAAUACAUGCAAGUCGAGCGAACAGACGAGGAGCUUGCUCCUCUGACGUUAGCGGCGGACGGGUGAGUAACACGUGGAUAACCUACCUAUAAGACUGGGAUAACUUCGGGAAACCGGAGCUAAUACCGGAUAAUAUAUUGAACCGCAUGGUUCAAUAGUGAAAGACGGUUUUGCUGUCACUUAUAGAUGGAUCCGCGCCGCAUUAGCUAGUUGGUAAGGUAACGGCUUACCAAGGCAACGAUGCGUAGCCGACCUGAGAGGGUGAUCGGCCACACUGGAACUGAGACACGGUCCAGACUCCUACGGGAGGCAGCAGUAGGGAAUCUUCCGCAAAGGGCGAAAGCCUGACGGAGCAACGCCGCGUGGGUGAUGAAGGUCUUCGGAUCGUAAAACUCUGUUAUUAGGAAAGAACAAAUGUGUAAGUAACUAUGCACGUCUUGACGGUACCUAAUCAGAAAGCCACGGCUAACUACGUG
rnacentral:rRNA from 1 species